rnacentral:lncRNA from 1 species
AUUGACAGAUGGACAGUCGUAAUCCAGACGCAUCUCCGUCAGGAACCGGAAAACGUUCCCCGGUUAAGGACCCGACGAACACACCAGCUCAUUUUCAAUUGCUUAGGCAAGGUUCAGGGAUGUGAUCCAGGUUUCCAGAAUGGUUAGUUGCUUGUGCAAUUCAGUUCAUAUGAAUCUUGUUGCUGGAAGGAGUAGAGUUUGAUUAGAUUGGAUCAGCGUUAUUUGGUAUUUUGGUAGUGGCUAAGUAUGGGAUACGCACCUUCCAUUNGCUCAUUUUCAAUUGCUUAGCCAAGGUUCAGGGAUGUGAUCCAGGUUUCC